rnacentral:rRNA from 1 species
CUACGGGACGCACCAGUGGGGAAUAUUGGACAAUGGGCGCAAGCCUGAUCCAGCAAUACCGCGUGUGUGAAGAAGGCCUGCGGGUUGUAAAGCACUUUCAAUUGUGAAGAAAGGCCUGGGGUUAAUACCCUCGGGUCUUGACGUUAACUUUAGAAGAAGCACCGGCUAACUCCGUGCCAGCAGCCGCGGUAAUACGGAGGGUGCGAGCGUUAAUCGGAAUUACUGGGCGUAAAGCGUGCGUAGGCGGCUAGGUCAGUCAGAUGUGAAAGCCCCGGGCUUAACCUGGGAACUGCAUUUGAUACUGCCUGGCUAGAGUAUGGUAGAGGGAAGUGGAAUUCCGGGUGUAGCGGUGAAAUGCGUAGAUAUCCGGAGGAACACCAGUGGCGAAGGCGACUUCCUGGACCAAUACUGACGCUGAGGUACGAAAGCGUGGGUAGCAAACAGGAUUAGAUACCCCUGUAGUC